UACGGAGGGUGCAAGCGUUGUCCGGAUUUAUUGGGCUUAAAGGGUGCGUAGGCGGCUUAUUAAGUCAGUGGUGAAAUACUCUAGCUCAACUAGAGGGGUGCCAUUGAUACUGAUGAGCUUGAGUACAGAUGAGGUAGGCGGAAUUGACGGUGUAGCGGUGAAAUGCUUAGAUAUCGUCAAGAACACCUAUAGCGAAGGCAGCUUACUAGGCUGUAACUGACGCUGAGGCACGAAAGUGUGGGGAUCAAACAGG
rnacentral:rRNA from 1 species